GAAAAACCACUAAAAACAAUGGUAAACAAGCGAAAUGUUUGGAUGUAUGAGCAGAAGCUUCCUCAGCCACCGAGAGACAGAGCCUAACUGAAGCGCAAGCUGCCCCAGCCGGUGGAUGGACGCGUCCAAAACGGCCGAUAACCGGGCGCCGAAAAACCUGCCAAUAACCGAGUUGGCCAAUAACCGAACCGGCCGAUAACCGGGGGCCCACUGUAAUUGUAUUUACAUUAAUUCUCACAGGAAAUAUUACUUCGGUUUUUCACCCUUUUCAGAUUUAGGCCGACCUUCUGGAAUGGAUUACGGCCAAAAUCCAGAGUUCCACUGUAUACCCAUUCUUCACUGAUCCAGGAUGAAAACACUUUAACAUGUGAUAAAUCACAUCUGUCAGACACUGCAACAUCAUGGGAUCUUGAUACAAAGAAUUCUUCAACACUUGUCCAACCUUAGGACGAAGACCUACUUCGACUAGUGGUUAUAGUGGAUGGUACCACUAUAACCCCGCUGCCUCCCGUUUCACCUCACCUGACUACAGUAUAUAAGCCACUUUUAUGGCCCUAUGCUGUACUUUCUACAAGAUUGAUGGACUGACCACAUCAACUCCAGGCUGAGGGACUGAUUACCUCAAACUUCUCCUCUCCCUACACCUUUCUGGUUUGUACUGGACUGAUGAAGCCACUGUGUGGCAAAAUGCUUCUUCAAUAAAGAUUCCCUUAUGUUGCAUAA